AUGCGUGCAAAUCCAGGAACAAGUCAAAGUGAGCUAUUGUCAAAGUGUGUUUAGUUGUGUUAGUUGUGUAAAGGAGGGAAGCGAAGGCAGAAAUAGAAGUUAGAAGAAAUAUCACAUUCAGUAUUUACAGGACACAUGAUGCAGCAUUGGAUUCUAACAGUUUUUCCUUCUUUGUUUCUGUUUAACUGUUUUCUCUUUCCACCAAGAAUUAGUGGUGACUGAGAUUUGAUGAAGAAGAUGGGACACACUUUGUUCUCUGAGUUAUUCUUGCUGUGUUCUCUCCUCUACACCGGACGAGCUCAAGAUGCUGUUCUGACUAUUGAACCCAGUUUGUCGAUUUUUUUUGUUGGAGAGUCUUUUACCUUCAUAUGUGACAUGAAGGAAGGAAGAAACGAUGACUGGGAAUACAAAAUCCUCAUGGAUGGUUGGGAUUUUGUUUCUUACCAUACACACCAGCGCUACACAUUAUAUCCUCUGUAUACCUCUUACACUGGUGAAUAUCAGUGUCGUGGUCGACAUAGAUCCUCAUAUGUAACAAAGGACAGUAACAUUCUCUCUUUAACUGUUUCAGCAAAUCAACCCAAAGCUAGACUGGUUCAACACUCAAAAACCACACCAGUAGGAGGAAGUGUGACUCUGAGCUGCUCUGUGGAGAACUCUGCUGGAUGGAAAUACGACUGGAUCAGACGAACCUCGAACACAAAUGAAGUUCACGUCAGAACAAAUGAUGUAAAUGGAGUUAUCAGAGUCUCACAGGGAGGCAUCUACAGGUGCAGAGGAUCAAAAGGAGAACUAAACUUCUACACUGAAACAAGUGAUGAAGUCAUCUGUGUGAUAACCUUUACAAACAAGGUUGUUGUGAUGCGACAACCCAACUGGCCUCAGAUAUUCAGAGGUGAGACGAUCACUCUGACAUGUGAGGUUCAGGGAGGUGAAACCACUGAGUGGGAGUAUGGAUGGAGAAGAUCUGGUUCAGAUACACAAUGGAAAUAUGAGAAAACGUGGACUUUCACUGCUUCUGAGUCCAGCAGUGGAGACUACACAUGUAAGACCAGACGCAGAGAUGACUGGUAUUCUUCAACAGAGACGAGUGAAGCCUUCAGAUUGUUGCUAUCAGAUGAACCAAAGGCCCAACUGAGAGCCGACGUCAGACUCAUCCCAGUUGGAGGCAGAGUGACUCUGAGCUGCUCAGUGAACCCGUCAUCAUCUGGUUGGAGAUACUACUGGUACAGAGACGAGGAAUCCUCUGAACCCCUGACCUCACCAGAUGCUGUUUUCCAGUCAGAUGGACAAAUCAGUGUCUCACAGGGAGGAAUCUACUGGUGCAGAGGAGGAAGAGGAGAACCAGUUUACUACACAACCUUCAGUGAUGCAGUCAACAUUUAUACAGCUCCAAACAGAGCAGCUGUGACUCUGCACCCCAACUGGCCUCAGAUAUACAGAGGAGAGAAGAUCACACUCCGAUGUGAAAUCCACGGAGGAAACACUGAGUGGGAGUAUGAAUGGAAAACCAGCAGCUCAAACAAACCACCAAAUCUAAAUGAAUUCACUAUUCCAGUUUCUUUAUCAAACACUGGAACCUACAAGUGUAAAGGCAGAAUGAAAAGUAAACCUAUUUCAACAGAUUGGAGUGAUUCCUUCAGUUUGACAAUAUCAAAAACAUCCAAACCUGUCCUCUCUGUGUCUCCAUCAUGGCUGAGUCCUGGAGUCUCAGUGAAUCUGAGCUGUGAGGUCAAACAUCCGUCUGCAGGAUGGAGCUUCUACUGGUAUAAAGCUCUUCCUCAAAUACCAAAUCUGUCCUACAUCUAUGAGCUGCUACCUGGUAGCACCAGCGGGACUGCACAGGACUCCUACAUCAUUGAUGGACAGACACACACAGCAGGAUAUGCAUGUAGAGCUGGACGAGGAGACCCAGUGAUCUACACUCCUUACAGUCAGACUAAGAUGGUCUGGUCUGCAGAUCCUCAUCCUUCAGCGUCCCUCACAGUAAGUCCUGACAGAGUUCAACACUUCAGCUCUGACUCUGUCUCACUGACCUGUGAAGGAAACUCGACUGAGUGGAGAGUGAGAGAGUCAACUCUUGACACCUACGUGUCUACCUGUUCAAACCGGUGGACAAUGACCGGAUGUGUUGUUCAUACACUGCAACACAGUAAUACGGUGUUCUGGUGUGAGUCUGGAUCAGCAUUCAGCAACGCAGUCAACAUCACUGGACAGAGUAUUUAUGGUAUCAUCCUGGUGAACCCCGUCCAUCCUGUGACUGAAGGAGCUUCUGUUAGUCUGAGCUGCAGACUGAGAGGACAAAAUCUACUUUCCAGUGUGUUUUUCUAUCACAAUGACAAACUUAUCCAGAAUGAUGGCAGAGGGGAGCUGAAUAUCUCUGCAGUGUCACAGUCACACGAAGGUUUCUACAAGUGUGAACACACAGGAAACGUUUCACCACAGAGUUGGAUGGCAGUAAAAUCGGUGUCCAGAACAGAGAGUUCUUCAUUUCUUUUUCUGGUUUGGUUGCUGGUUUGUGUAACUUUAUUAAGUUUUGUUCUACUGCUGUUGUGUCUCUACAAAAAGUCAAAAGAUAGGAGCUUCAUCAGGUCUCAGCGCACAAAUCAGAGUUCUGCUACAGACGUGAAUGAAGGUCAACACGAUCAAUACGGUUCUCCUCUCCACGUGUUUGUCACUAUGAGUCAGUCAAAGGCCCUGAAGUUGGUGAAGAUGAUGCAGUUUAUGCAACAACAGAUGAAUCCAGAGACGUCACAUAUUCCUCAAUUGACCUUGAAAACAUCAAAAAUAAGAAAGGGAAGAAAAAGGAAUCGGAGGAUAAAUCAGUUUACUCUGAUUUGAAACUUAGAUCAUCAACAGAUGAUAGUCAACUAUAUGCCCAAGUGCUCCACCACAAGAAAGACAAAGGAAAACCAGUUCCUGCAGCUGAUUAGACGAUUUAUUCUGAUGUCAAAGUAAAUACUUGAACUUGGUUUUAAAUGGAAGUAAACUGUCAUUACUGACCCCUCAAUUUUUACAUUUUUCUUGCAGAACAAUAAAGUGAUAGUGGAUGAUAAUAUAACAAUGUAUGAAUUGUAAUGCACUGUAUCAUCUAAUCUUUAAUACAAAGAUGGCUCAAAAGUUUGAAUUUUUUAAUGUUCAGCUUUACAAAAUAUACUAUCUCAUUACAUGUAAAAUUACACACAUUUCCUGUGCUUUCUGCUAAAUCAGCAUAUUUAUAUU